rnacentral:tRNA from 1 species
UCCGCAUUAGUGUAGUGGUUAACAUAUUUGUCUUUCAUCUGAUGAAAGAUUCACAGAAGCCGGGGGUUCGAUUCCCCCAUGCGGAG